rnacentral:rRNA from 1 species
GGGAUUACAUCCUCUACAAGUCAAAACCUCCUCCAAUCCACCCCAAUCCCCCUGUGAGGAGGUGUAACCGAACAAAGCCUCAAGGAUUUGGUCGCCCGACACGAGACGCCGCCGCCCGACUCGACACGCCGCCGCGACUCCUCCCAAGACCCCGUCGCCGACUCCUCCGCAAGACGCCGCGCCGCCCGACGCCUCAACGCCUCGACGCCGGCGAUCUCCUCCGUCAUACUAGACUUCUCCCCGGUGCCAACAGCCUGGGUUCUUGUUGGGAUGGCGGGUUGCCUCCAUCUUGGGAUCCAAUCGUCAGUUUUAUGUUGUAGGCUGACUCAACUUGUACGUCUCCCAUCUAGGUUGGGCGGUGAUCCUUUCUGAACGGGGCCUUUUCAUUGUUUCAUUAGCCUGCCAAUUCUACAUAAAUAUCCUUUGUCCUGACAAAAGGUUGUUCCUGAAAAAAGAUUUACAAUUCCUGCCAUAGUAUCCAUUUUGUUCAGCUAUUUGCUGUAAUCUUUUUUUCUAAAGGCACUCUAAUGUUCAUAUCUUUUGUUUCAUCGGGUUCUCAUGCACCAAAAGAAGCAACAAAAGAUGGAUACAUUUCUCUCAAGCACUCUGGAUGAAUGAAUUUCUCUCAGGUUGUCGAUGCUAGAUGACCAUGACACCAAAAGAACAUUUGUAUGCAUUAUCUUCGUUGCAAAAUGAUAUUGUGGCUGUGAUGAACUGUUUGCUACGAAAGAUUAUGUUGUUAUGAUAAAUUAUGAAUGCUGGGAUUUGGGUUUCAAAGACAUUUUGUUAUGAUAAAUUAUGUAGUUGUUGUGAUGAGAUAUUGAUUUCAUCUUGUGAAAGCAGCAACACGGC